rnacentral:rRNA from 1 species
GAGGAAAAGAAACUAACAAGGAUUCCCCUAGUAACUGCGAGUGAAGCGGGAAAAGCUCAAAUUUAAAAUCUGGCGGUCUUUGGCCGUCCGAGUUGUAAUCUAGAGAAGUGUUAUCCGCGCUGGACCGUGUACAAGUCUCCUGGAAUGGAGCGUCAUAGAGGGUGAGAAUCCCGUCUUUGACACGGACUGCCAGGGCUUUGUGAUGCGCUCUCAAAGAGUCGAGUUGUUUGGGAAUGCAGCUCAAAAUGGGUGGUAAAUUCCAUCUAAAGCUAAAUAUUGGCGAGAGACCGAUAGCGAACAAGUACCGUGAGGGAAAGAUGAAAAGAACUUUGGAAAGAGAGUUAAACAGUACGUGAAAUUGCUGAAAGGGAAACGCUUGAAGUCAGUCGCGUUGGCCGGGGAUCAACCUUGCUUUUGCUGGGCGUACUUUCCGGUCGACGGGUCAGCAUCAAUUUUGAUCGUUGGAUAAAGGUUAGGGGAAUGUGGCAUCUUCGGAUGUGUUAUAGCCCUUGGUCGCAUACAACGGUUGGGAUUGAGGAACUCAGCACGCCGCAAGGCCGGGUACUUGUACCACGUUCGUGCUUAGGAUGCUGGCAUAAUGGCUUUAAUCGACCCGUCUUGAAACACGGACCAAGGAGUCUAACAUGCCUGCGAGUGUUUGGGUGGAAAACCCGAGCGCGUAAUGAAAGUGAAAGUUGAGAUCCCUGUCGUGGGGAGCAUCGACGCCCGGACCAGACCUUUUGUGACGGAUCCGCGGUAGAGCAUGUAUGUUGGGACCCGAAAGAUGGUGAACUAUGCCUGAAUAGGGUGAAGCCAGAGGAAACUCUGGUGGAGGCUCGUAGCGAUUCUGACGUGCAAAUCGAUCGUCA